GGGGGCUUAGCUCACUUGGUAGAGCGCUUGCCUUGCAAGCAAGAGGUAGCGGGUUCGAUUCCCGCAGUCUCCAC
rnacentral:tRNA from 2 species